rnacentral:rRNA from 1 species
UGGGGAAUAUUGGACAAUGGGCGCAAGCCUGAUCCAGCCAUGCCGCGUGAGUGAUGAAGGCCCUAGGGUUGUAAAGCUCUUUCACCGGUGAAGAUAAUGACGGUAACCGGAGAAGAAGCCCCGGCUAACUUCGUGCCAGCAGCCGCGGUAAUACGAAGGGGGCUAGCGUUGUUCGGAUUUACUGGGCGUAAAGCGCACGUAGGCCGACUAUUAAGUCAGGGGUGAAAUCCCGGGGCUCAACCCCGGAACUGCCUUUGAUACUGGUAGUCUUGAGUUCGAGAGAGGUGAGUGGAAUUCCGAGUGUAGAAGUGAAAUUCGUAGAUAUUCGGAGGAACACCAGUGGCGAAGGCGGCUCACUGGCUCGAUACUGACGCUGAGGUGCGAAAGCGUGGGGAGCAAACAGG